UGCGGUAAUUUGACCGUGCAAAGGUAGCAUAAUCAGUAGUCUUUUAAUUGAAGGCUGGAAUGAACGGCUGGAUGAAGGAUUAACUGUCUUCAAUACAAUUUAUAACUUGACUUUUAAGUGAAAAGGCUUAAAUUAUUUAAAGGGACGAUAAGACCCUAUAAAACUUGAUACGCCGUUAUGCUUAGCUUUAAAUUUUAAUCUAAAAUUGUAAGGGUGGCUGUGUGUUCUGUUGGGGAGACAUUGAUAUAAAUAGUAACUGUCUGAUUAAAAAAUAUAAUUAUAAUUAGUAUGUGAUCCUUCUUUGUGGAUUAUAAGAGUAAGUUACUUUAGGGAUAACAGCGUAAUUUUCUCUGAGAGUUCCUAUCGAAGGGAGUAGUUGCGACCUCGAUGUUGAAUUAA
rnacentral:rRNA from 1 species